rnacentral:tRNA from 1 species
UCCUCCUUAGCUCAGUUGGUUAGAGCAUCUGACUGUUAAUCAGAGGGUCGCUGGUUCAAGUCCAGCAGGGGAG